UAGGAGAUGAUAAAAAUACAUAUUAAGUAAUUUGUACCCUGAUAUGCUUUGUAUGUAGAUUGCUUACAACUAACAUGAAAUGAGCAUUUCAUUCCUUAAGCAUGCUGUUGGGGGAAAAUGGGAGCCAGGCUGGAUGCACAAAUUUACACCAGAUGCUCUGUAUCCAGGUAGCAGAAAUGACUAACAGCACUGGUAUCCAUCAGUCCCAGAGCAAAAGCGUCUCCAGAGGAGGACAUCUGUAAAUCCCAAAUCUGAUCUCCUUCAUCAUCAUUAGGCAACAGAUAGGAUAAGACUUCAUGAAGAGAAUUUUGGUGGCUUUAGAUUGUUGAGAAAGUAUAUAUAGGAAAAAACUGGAAAUUAUGUCCAAGAUUUUUUGUCUAACUCCUUAUCCUGAUAUUGUUAACAUUUCACAACUAAAAUAAUUUUAACAGACAAUUAGUUUUUAAAAAUGUAUUUUCAUGACCUGAGACUACAGAAAUUGCCAUUUUCUUAGGACGUAGUUUACAUUUGACUCUGCUUACUGUGUCCAGGGCAUCCCCAAAUUGGGAGAGAUUGCCAAGUCAGUUGCCAUUUUGCCUUACUUUUACCAAGGACUAGCCUACAGGUUCAGUUUUGCUCUUGACUUUGGCCCUGAAUUGAGAACUGAGUCAAGAGAACAGAGUGGAAGUAUGGAGACAAAGCCAGCAGCUUUACUCAAAAAAUAUAUAUGAGUCUAGUAUUUUUUUUGUUUUUGAAAGACAUGUUACUGAGCCCAACCCAGUCAGGGAUCACUGAAUAUUGGGUUAAAUAAAACAAUAAUGUUAUUCAUGUGUUUGAAAUUAAUGUUUUAAAGAACCACGCACACACUUUAAAAUGUAACUGGAUUUGCUAUAUAGGCCAGAGAAAUAUGGCUGUUACGAUGAAGGCGUAACUUCUCUGGUUCUUGAUUAUUUACACCAUUAGAGAAGAAUGCAAAUAUGAAUAGCUCAGAGUAGUUUAACUUUGAAGUGAGAGUUUAUAUGCACCUUUAUAUGUGGGAUAACUGAUGUCUUUGGAAUAGACUUCAAAUGAAUGAUAAAAACACCUGUAAAGUGAUAGGACCUCUACUUUUUCUCAUGUCCAAUGUUCAGUUUCUUAUAAACCAGGCAUGAAGAGAAACAAAAAGUAAUUAAUUCUCCAGAUCAUGAAGUUGUCUUCAACCUAAGCACAGAGGUAUAAUAAUUACAUUUCUCAGAAGUUCCCCCUCUGUUUUGAGUCUCAAGGGCAAUUGAGAUGUCAGUGAGGCUGUGAUUAAAUGUAUUGGAUAUUAGAGGAUUUUAAAUACAAACAAGUAUUAUAGGUGUUACCACUGACCCCGAAGGUAAGAUUUACUGUGAAAAUUUAUAAUGCAAGGAAGAAUGAUCAAGUUGGCUGUCAGAACAACAAAAUAUUACAAACCAGGAUGUCUAAGAGCAGAAGUCCGUGGUUGCCACCUCUCAAGCCUCUUAGCUUAAUCCAAUCUAGGAUGCAUUUCCACUCUGCAACAAACAGUAUUUAUUUUUGCCUUAUUUGCAGAUAACAGUUUUAAUGCAGGUACUGCCCAUGGAUUAGCUUUGAGCAGUGUCUUUUUGCUUUGGUUUUUUUAUUUGUUUGGUUUGUUUUGAGACUGAGUCUCAGUCCUCCAGGCUGGAGUGCAGUGGUGUGACUUUGGCUCACUGCAACCUCUGCCUCCCGGGUUCAAGCGAGUCUCCUGCCUCAGCCUCCCAAGUAGCUGAGUCUACAGGCGUGAGCCACCAUCCCCGGCCAAGCAGUAUCUUUUUGCUUUGAAAGUGACUUACAUGUACAUUUGUUUUCCUUGUGAAUGUUUCUUUUUAACUGCAAACUAAGAAACAUUGAGCCCAGCAUUCAUAUAUUUGCAAACUCUGUCUUACUUAAUUUCUCAGUUUUUUUCCUCAGAAAAAAUGAAAUUCCUUUUCUUUUUUAAAUUUAUUUUUUCUUUAUUUUUCUUUAUAAAGUGAAGAGUAGGUAGCAUGAAUUCCUCUUGCCCUUUGCUAUUUCAGUCUGGCAUCAGUAGCAAUUGUUGCUAUGUCCAGUUUUCAUUCAUGGAUUUUUCUGGGAUUGAAGAUGAGUUCAAUGUUGAUUAUUUAAUUGGGCAGUAUAAGUAAAUUCAUUGGCUCUCCUUCCAGUUUAGUGAAUACUAAAUAUCAUCCAUGAUAUUUUAUACUUCUUACACUUCUGGAAUCUAACCUGAAAAUAGAAGUUGUAAGUCAGGGACGGUGGUAUGUGCCUCUAGUCUCAGCUAGUUGGGAGGCUGAGGCUUGAGCCCAGGCCUUCAAGGCUGUAGUGCACAAUGACUGUACUUGUGAAUAGCCACUGCACUCCAGCCUGGGCAACAUAGCAAGACUCCCACCCCUUAAGAAAAAAGAAGAGAGAAAAAAAUAGAAGUUGUGGAGAGGGAGGAGGAUGCUUGAAUACUUUGACCGUACUUGGCAUAAUAGACAUUUUGAGGGUUUUUUUGUUUUCUUAAAAUUCCUCUGGAUCAGUUUUCAUUGUUUCUAGUAAUUAUAUUUAUCGUUAAUGAAUUCAUAUUCUGCUCUAGCCCCUAAAGAUAGUUUGAUAUGCUAACUUUUGUUUUGCCUUUCUAGCUGCUAAGAUAGAUAAUGGUUAUUGCAAAAUGCACGUUUUUAAAUGGUCUCCAGUGUGGAUUGCUUCUGAGCUGCUGAUGGAUUGAAUACAUUGAGAAGGAAUGUGUCAUUUGGAAUCCAGGACCAGUCAGCAAGGAUAACUGCCUGAUUUUAUGGUCAGAAUGCUCUAACUCUUAUGGCAUACUGAUGACUUUUUCUUCCAUUUUCCAAAAAAGCAAGUUUUGUCAGUCUCAGUGUUUCUCUGAUCUAGCUACUCACAAUUCCAUUCCCAAAGUAGUGACCUAGUUCUGUCACUUGGGUUUCAAAGGGAGUUGAAGUGUCACUGAGUGAGUACAGCAAACCUGUUUAAUGAUUUAUAGGAAGCAAAUAAAAAGAAUUUUGUUUGCUAACCUAGAAGUAUAUCAGAUUUUGGUUUCAAUUUAUAAUUUUGCAAAAUAUAAAGACAUUUCCUGGCUAACUCCAUCCAGAUGAAUUAUUCAGUAUUUUUUCUCCUAUCUUAAUGAAGUUAAUUUGAAUGCUAAUUUCCUAUAACCAAGAAAACAGUUGAAUUAAAUAACCCUUAUCUUUUAAACUUAAAGCUUAUACUACUAAUAAUCAUUUAACAUUCACUUCCUUUUUUCUGACUUAAUUGGUAGGUAAAUAAAAUACUUCAAAUUUGAUUGGCAAAUUGGAAAAUCACUUAGAACAAUCUGCUAGUAUUUUUUAUUCCCUUUGUUUUUUCCUUUACACAUUUGUACUGCAAAAUAAAUCAAGGACAAAGACUCACACUGAAUUGAUCAACUUGUGUUUGGUCUUCAUGGGAAUUACAUCUUUUUUCCCCUCAACAUUUAUUAAAGGAACAUACAGAAUUUCAGACUAUAGCAAACUAAUACCUUUAGCUUGACUAAGAGUUGAUUUUCGUUAAGGAACAGAACUUGUAAUUUAUUUCGACAUACUUUAAUGUAUGACUCAUCCCUGUUAAAGUUGUGAGACUCAAAACUACGCCCAAAUCACUUAAUUUUAUGUCCUUCCCUGUUUACUGUGUCUGACCUUCAAGAUUUCGUGACUGAUGCUGAAAUGGAAGCCAACCACUGCAGAAAUUUGGGGGAAAAUGAGAUCUGAAGAAUACAAGGGGAAGUAGGAAUUCAUUUCUAGCAUUUCCAAACCUGCUUAAUCGUGUCUGCUCCACCACAGUCAGAGGAAAAGACUGAGUUCAUGGAAAUUACCAGCUAAGCCUUACAUCUGUCUUUAAUGUUUUUAGGAAGUAUACUGAAAAGGUAAGUGAGAUGUCUGUUUUGAAGAAAGACUCUUACUGGGUACCUUAAAACCCGUUGUUUCCUAUUAGUAAAGAUGGGCAGCUUCUUUAUUCCUAGCUUCAAAAAGCCUUGCCCCUGUUUGGUGUGUUUCUCAGUAUUGUGGAGAAGGUAGUUUCUGAGCAAGGUGGUGCUUUUCCUCUGCUUCUCAGCAGCUAAGACAGAAAUUGCACCGAAGUGUACAAAGGGCCAAUUUUUGUUGUCCUGUUGUGCUCAAAUCCUUUUUUUUAAAAAAGUUAUUUCAAUCAAGUCUUAGUUUUAUUCCUCACUAUAUAGGAAAAAAAUCUUUAAUGCCUCAAAAGUUCCAUUCAGCAUUACAUUUGCAUUACUCUUAUUUGCAGCAAAUAUGAGUAAAAUUAUAGGUUUUUAAAGGUCUCUAAUAACAUCCACUUAUAUUGGUUUUGUAGAUAAUCCAUAAAUUACCAGAAAUAAAUUAUUCCACAUUUAUUACACACCCAUGUAAUAGAUGUCGUGCCAGGCCCUGGAAUAUACUAAUGGCAUCACCUCAUGUGGUAAAAAGACACAUUCCGCCAUCCUGGAGUAUACAAAGGUAGACUAGCAUAUAGUUCAUGUGCUCAAGGAGUUCAUUUUUAUUGACAUGAUACAGAUAGAAUUGUAGUUUAGGGAAUCAAAAUCUAAUAAAAUGAGGCUAAUUCCAUUUUCCCAUUAACACUAAUAACUAGUGUGUAAAUCUGAAUAUGACACAUUCUAUAUGAAAGAAGCUCUGUGUGCAUCUACACUAAAUACUCGUGUGUGCCAGGUACUGUUUUAAACUACGUAUAUUUUUUUAAUUCUCAUAACUGUUCUCUGAGGUAUGUACUAAUACUAAAGCUUAUUGUUAAAGGAAGGCAGAAAAAUUAAGUAACUUGGCCUAAGUUUGCAUAACUGUGAUCUGGGAUCAAUAUUUGAACCCAUACAGGCUGAUUGCAGAGCCUGCACUCUUAAUUUGAGUGUGAUAUUUAUGUGCAGUACCUGGCUAUAAGUACCCACAAAACGUUUCAAAUUCUUUAUAAAAUUUGCUUAGUUAAAAAAGUACCAAUUGCAUAAUAUGGUUAUAAGUCUGGUAGAAGUUAGGCUUUUUACAAGACAUGCUGCUUACUGCACCAAGGAGGCAAGAAGGCUUUUUAGAGAGCCCAGAAUUUCCUUUCCUCAACUCCUGCUUCCAAGACAGUCAUUUUGCAUGAUAACCGUUUCCCCAAAAAACACAGACACAAAAUUUAAAGAACUGGAACAGAGGAAGCAGAGCUUAUCAUAGUAUAUAUGUUUAGUACCCUGUCACUUAGGUCCACCCCUCUUUCUUUGUGGAUUGUGGACAUUUUGUUUAACUGCUAAAUCAUGAGAAUAUAUGACUGCUGAGACUUUUCCAAGGAUUUUUUAAAAAACACAUUAGGCUUUGUGCAGAAGUAAAGAAAAAGUGCUGUGAGAACCCCAGGUAGGUAAUUUACUUUCUAUUGUACUCAUAGUUUGUUUGAAACCUCUUCACCUCUAUCCCUUAUUGUUUUAUACUCUGUAAAUCUGAUUUUACCUUUAAUAAACUUUUCUGAAGUGA
ensembl:lncRNA LINC01355 long intergenic non-protein coding RNA 1355